ACGGGUGAGUAACGCGUGGGAACGUGCCUUUCGGUUCGGAAUAAUUCAGGGAAACUUGGACUAAUACCGGAUACGCCCUUCGGGGGAAAGAUUUAUCGCCGAAAGAUCGGCCCGCGUCUGAUUAGCUAGUUGGUGAGGUAAAGGCUCACCAAGGCGACGAUCAGUAGCUGGUCUGAGAGGAUGAUCAGCCACAUUGGGACUGAGACACGGCCCAAACUCCUACGGGAGGCAGCAGUGGGGAAUAUUGGACAAUGGGCGCAAGCCUGAUCCAGCCAUGCCGCGUGAGUGAUGAAGGCCUUAGGGUUGUAAAGCUCUUUUGUCCGGGAAGAUAAUGACUGUACCGGAAGAAUAAGCCCCGGCUAACUUCGUGCCAGCAGCCGCGGUAAUACGAAGGGGGCUAGCGUUGCUCGGAAUCACUGGGCGUAAAGGGCGCGUAGGCGGACUUUUAAGUCGGAGGUGAAAGCCCAGGGCUCAACCCUGGAAUUGCCUUCGAUACUGGGAGUCUUGAGUUCGGAAGAGGUUGGUGGAACUGCGAGUGUAGAGGUGAAAUUCGUAGA
rnacentral:rRNA from 1 species